UACGGGGGGGGUAAGCGUUGUUCGGAAUUACUGGGCGUAAAGGGCUCGUAGGCGGCCAACUAAGUCGGACGUGAAAUCCCUCAGCUUAACUGGGGAACUGCGUCCGAUACUGGAUGGCUUGGAUUUGGGAGAGGGAUGCGGAAUUCCAGGUGUAGCGGUGAAAUGCGUAGAUAUCUGGAGGAACACCGGUGGCGAAGGCGGCAUUCUGGACCGACAUUGACGCUGAGGAGCGAAAGCCAGGGGAGCAAACGGG
rnacentral:rRNA from 1 species